rnacentral:lncRNA from 1 species
GCUGCCCUCGGAACCCUCUGUGCUCGGCCGAUUCUGUCCCCCCGUCCCGUCCAGCCCAUCUCCCCACUGCCUCGAUUUUUGCCCUUUUCGGAAUUCGGGAUGUAGCCUUUCCAGAGUGGCUUCUUUGACCGGGCGCUAUGCAUCAGACUGCCUCCUUGCCUUCGCCUGGCUUGAUAGCCUGUUUCUUUUCCGCCCCGGAUAAUAUCGCGUUGUCUAGACGUACCACCGUUCAGGUUUCCAGUCACCUACCGAAGGUCGUCUUGGCUCCUUUCAGAUUUUGGCAAUCGGGAAUAAAGCUGCUCUAAAUGCCGACAGGCAGGUCCUUGUGGGGCCCAUUUGCUUUUUAAAAUAGUUUGUCUUGUGCACCUGGGUGUGUGUUUACAUCUCAAAAGGUAUCACACCAGCUAUUAACCGUGGUUCCUUCCAGAGACAGAACUGGACUCUUGUGCAAAGGGAACACGAAGAAACCGCUUCACGUUUUCACUUUUUAGAGCUGUGUGUCAUUUUAAUGUUUUUGCGUUAGACAGGUAUUCCUGCAACUACCUGAAUAACCAAAUUAAAAACUGAAACCGUUAAAACCAAGAUAAAAUGAAAAUAAAGAGUAAUAUUUCAUGCAAAGCCGCAAGAGGCGAAGUGUACCCCCUGCUGAUCUACACUCCAAGAUGCUUUGUAAGAGCAAGAGACCAUGCCUUGGUGGUCUGUCUGAGGAAAUGCGUAACCCCCGUCAAGUCAGGAGGAAACGAGACAAACCCAAAAUGAGGAUUAUUCUACGAAAUUACCAGCUGUGAUCUGCAAAAGUGUCAAGGUCAAGAAACGCAAAGAAAGAAUCAGGAACUGUUCCAGAUUAAUGGAGAUUAAAGAGACAAGAUACAGGAAUUGAAUCUGUGGUCCUCGAUUGCAUGCUAGGUUAGAGAGAGGAGGGGGGAAAAAAAAGGCUUGAUGUUUAAAUACAACAGUAGAGAAGGUAACAGAGGAGUGUAUCAGUGUACCUGACCUUGAUAACUGAACUUUGGUAAAAAGAAUGACCUUGUUCUUAGGAAAUUCACACUGAAGUGCUGAGGGGGUAAAAAGGCACUCUCAAAUGCUUCG